rnacentral:lncRNA from 1 species
AUGGGAUUAAAUUAAUAGAAUGAACAUCAAUAAGAACUGCUUCAACCAAAAACUCAAUAGGAACUGAAGCAAACAAGAAAAAGGAAGGAUGGUAUCAACAAUGUAACGAUGUUUUCUUUCAACAAGUCUAUUUUAUUGAGGUGUAUCAAUACGUCUUUUGAUUAUUACCAUCAUAUGCAAGUAAUUCAGAGAAUUUAUUAGAGGUAUAUUCAUAACCUAAAUCAAAACCGAAGCACUUUAUAAAAACAUUAUUUUGAGUAUUAAACAUCACACAAAACAUAUAAUAAAUGUAAAAAAAUUUAGAACAUUUUCUCAAAAGGUAAAGCCAACAAUAACGAGUAUAGUCAUAGAUAAGCAAAACAUAUUAUCUAGAUCCACCAUUUGUAGGAACCGGUGAUGAACCUCAUACAUCAAGGUGAAUUAAGAAAAAUGGUGCAUAUGAAAUGGAAAUAAUUUUAUUAAAAGGUAAAGUUGAGAAUUUAGAAAGUUUACAACCACAAAAAUCUGAGAUAUACCUGGAUUUUAAUUUCCCUAAAGCUCUAGUAGAAGUUAAGUGCUUUAAUAUAGAAGUAGAGACAAGUCUUAAACGGGAAUGUCAUAAUUAAAAAUUAGAAGAAAAAUAACUCAAACGGAAAGAAGCUAAUAUAUAAGUAGUGGAAGAAGAAGUUAAGGUUCUGGAAUUUGAGGCUCUCAGCUAAUCUAAAACAUAAAGCUUCCCUUCUUCGCAGCAUGUCCCAAUCAGUGUCCCAAAAUGUUGAUCCUACACACAACAUGAAGUAGAAAAAAGGUAACAAAAUAACCUGAAUCACAUAUUAUUUACUCUUAACAAAUUGGGACAAUGUGACUUCCAAUGAUCUUUUUCCUUGAAAAAGAACAUUCAUCAAUACCAACUUCAAUUCUGUCUUGAGAUUUUCUUUUGUGAAUAGAAGCACCAAAAAUAGAUGGAAGAGGUUUAAAAGUUGCUUUAUUUGAAAUUAGAUUAGAGUGAUACUUGAGUCUAGUUUCUUUUUAUAAUAAAUCAUUAACAACUAAAUCAACAUUUAGAAGAGGAGUGUGAUGUAGAAUACCCCGAAGAAGACUCUCAAAAUCAUUCCAAAGGCCAUGAGAAAUUGAAUAAGAGACUACUCUUCUCGUUGGUCAGUGUAUGCUUUGACACCUUAUAAUUUAGUUGAUUUCAUAAAAGAAAAUUGAUCCCAUAAAUUAGUCAUCAAUGAAUAAAUUUUUUGAAUUGUCAUAUUAUAUCUUUUAAGAGCCUUAAUGUCAACUUUACAACUGAUACUGUUUUGCAAAACUAUACUAAUUAUACAAACCUUAUAAGUUAUCACAAAUAUCCUUAGCAGUAUCAUAUUUUGUUAGUUGCACACCUAUUGACUAAGAAACAAAAUUAUUGUUUAAAGUAAGGAUCUUGGAAUUACUAAUAUCUCAUGUUUCCAACCCUUUUGCAUAUGUUGCAUCAUCUUUUUUUUAAUCUAUGAGCAUAAUAUAAGUUUCAUAAACAUAACUCCACAUUUGUUUUCCUUUCAAAAGUUUUUUCAUUACAUAACUCAAAUAAUCAUAAAUUUGUCCAUUGAGUUGAUAUGCCAAGAAAUAGUUCAAAAAAGGAAACAAUCCAUGGGCAAAAUUAAAGUAUAUUGAGUUGAAGGGGGAGCCCUCUAUUUAUAGGGCAAGAGAUGGUUCAAAAAAGGAAACAAUCCAUGGGUAAAGUUAAUGUCCUAAUCGAUUAGCUAAUCAAUUCGGAAUAUGCAAUAAUCGAUUAUUGUUGCCCAAUAUUAGAAGAUUUUGAUAGAGAGUCGUUACCAUGUAUUAAGACACUUUCAUAAUAAAUUUAUUCACUUGUUUUGACCUUAUCCAAUCGAAUAGGCUUUUGUUCUAAUCAAUUAGGAAGAUAAAAAACAUGCCCUAGUCAAUCUGAAAAAUUCCCAAAUUAAUUGUCUAUGCGCCAAAAACAUUUUAGGUGAUUUUAUUUGAAAAAUAGAGGCUUCAAAAUAUUUUUAGUGCGUGUAUAUGAUUUGGCCAUAAUACUUUACAAAAAUUCUCUUGUGUUUUUACAAAACAUUGAUCACUAAACUAGACACGACCAUCUGAGCUUUCACACUUCCUUUCUUUCACACUCUGAAGCUUCGAGUCCUUUUGCUGGAUACACCAAUCAUAUAAGUACUUCAAUUGAAUCAUCUUGAGGGUAAGGCUUGAAAUGUCUUAAAGUCAUAUGCUAUCAUCAUAGGAUAACACUGUAGCGGGGUAUUCGUUACCUUUAGAUUUAUUGACUAAAUCAAAAGUAAGCAUACAAUUCGAGUCGCCACCACACUUUUAUUUGUCCAAAGGAAAGGCUAAAAAGCGAACAAAAGCCAAGUAAUAAGUUUUAUCAAAUCAAAAACUAAUGAAAAUGUCAGAGAUCUGGGUAAGGGGGUUGAUUAUGAGAUGGGAAGGUUUUAAGCACCCAAAACAUCCUUAGUACUCUAAGGGAGCCAUUUUUGCAAAAUGUGUAUUGUAGGUUGGUAUUUGUGAAAAUAUUUAUGCAAACAAGAUUGGGGAGAUGAGAAGAGAAUAUACAUAUUAUUUACAAUUUUGUUGUUUGAAUGGAUAAACCCAUUGCCUACGUACCAUCACAAAGGUAGGAUCAAAACCUCGUAGUUCGGGGUAAUUUCGGGGUAAAAAUCUCAAAAUAUUGGUGAAUUGAUUUGAUCAAAAGCCUUAAGGUCUUUUGUUAUCAAAGGGAGAAAACUCAACCUAAACCAACAAUCCACCAUGUGAGGAGAGCUUCAACAUACUGGUGAGGGGUUAACCCUAUAAUAAGUAUGGAAGACUUAUAGUCCAAUCACUAAGGAUAAGGCGAGGUUUACAUCAACCACUAUGAUAACUCAAACCUAUGGCUAAUGUUUUUUUUAUGAAAAAGGUUUUAACAAAGGUGGCCAUUGAAACCACAAAAAUCACUUGAAGUGAGUUGUAUUCACAAGUUAGAAGUAUUCACAAAAAUGAGGUCAAAGUUAACUUAAGGUUAAUUCACAAUGAGUAUUAAUGAAAAGAAUUUGAAAAAUCAAAGGCAUAGGGCCUAGGUUUCUAGUUUGAAGAAUAAUGUCAAAGUUUGCACAAAAUGAGUUUGGCUUGGGUUAGAGUGGAGAGAUGAAGAGAAGGGCUAGUCCUAAACAUGCAAAGAUAAGAGAAGAGAUAAAACCCUUGGAGUUCCUUUUCUUGAGAUCAUAAAGAUGAUUCAAGAUGCUCUUUUCCUUUGGACUUAGCAAUCAAUCAAGUAAUCAAACAAAUAUUAUAUUCAAGCUCAUAGGAUCUCCAUUUGGCUUGUCUCUCUUAACUUGGCUACUCAUGACAAUGGUCCUUCUUACUAUCUCAAUAUGGCCUAUCACACAAGAACAAACAAUCAAAAAUUUCAUAACAUAAUAAGGGGAAUGGACAAAGAAUGAGUUUAGAUUAGGGGUCCUUUGAAGUCAACUUUAAGAUUUAGCAUUCUAAAGGCAUGAGGCCUAGUUUCUCUUCAACAAGUUUAGCAUUCUAAAGGCAUUGAGGCUAGUUGCUCUUGAACUCCUUUAAGAAUAGGUAAGGUCCUAAUUCUAAGUCCUUUCUGCUUUUUGCAUUGGUUCACAACAAACAAAGACAAAACAAACACAAAGCACAAUAUAUUUAUAUACAAUAAUGAGCUCAAAUGAGCAAAAAGGAAAAUGACAUAAACAUAAAAUAUAUGCUCAAGUGAGCAAAGGGAAAGCAAUAUGAAUAAAUGGCAAGAAAGUAAUUGCAUUAAAGUAAAUUGUAAGAAAUUAAAUGCUUGAAUUAAAGUUAGUAGUUAAUGGUUAAUGUUAGUGUGUCAUAGACAAUUUAGCGCUAUGUUAAGCAAUGUAAGUGGACUAAUAUAGUAGUCACACCUAUCUGAGGCCGGUCAAUAAAAACUAUAGGCAAUAAACACAAGUUGAGAUCAUGAUAGUAAGGCCAAGCUCCUACAACUUGCCAUGCCAAAAGAAAGAAGGAAAGCCUGUAUGGACUUUGGUUUUUUGCUUGACCAAGAAGCACCUAUCUUGGACACAAAGCAACUCACUUGAUCUUUGAUCAAGUUGAGUUUGAUUUGGAUCAAAGAAGGUUAAGCCUCUCAUAUGUCAAGGCUAACCACAAAUCAUUAACUCAUUGGCCAAAAUAAAAAAAAGAAGAAGUGAGAUGAAGAUGAAAUGAACAAAAGGAGAAUUCAAAUAACAUAAUCAAAACACAAUGAUCAAAUGUGAAUCAAAUCAUCAUCAACCUAUGUAAAACAGAAGAGAAAUGAAGAUUAGAAGUCAACAAAGUCAAACAUAUUUUUUGGUUAUUUUGGAAUUAAAAUAAAUGAAAAAAUUAAAAUGGACAAAGUAUGGUCAAACCUCAAAUUCAAUUCAAAUCAACUUGGAAAAGUCCAAUUGAACCAUCAUAGGUCUAACAUGGUCAAACAAGGUUUAACAAAUUUUCUCAACAUUUUUUGAAAACAGAAACUAUUUUAAAACAAUUAAAAACAAAGAAAAAUAACACAAAUGAACUAAAAUCUCAAAUAAAUCUCAAAUCAAUUAAGAAAUUGAUGAGACCAUUUUUCCUAGACUUAUCAUGAUCCAUAUGUGUUAAGAAAAUAUUUUUGGAUUCUUUGGAUAUCAAAAAGUAUUUAAAAUGAAUUAAAAACUAUUAAAAACAAAAUAAUUCACAAAAAAUAUUAAAUGAAGUCACAAAAAUAAUUAAAAAAAUCAGAUUAUGAAACUAGAUUUUUCAAGAUUUUUUUUGCCAUUGGUCUCAUAUUUUUAUGACUUCAAAUAAAAUAGUUAUGAAUUUUUGAAAAUAAAUGGAAUUAAAAGAAAAUAAAACAGAAUUUAUGAAACUAGAUUUUUCAAGAUUUUUUUUGCCAUUGGUCUCAUAUUUUUAUGACUUCAAAUAAAAUAGUUAUGAAUUUUUGAAAAUAAAUGGAAUUAAAAGAAAAUAAAACAGAAAAUAGAAAAUGCCAAAAAUCAGGAGCGCUUGGAUAUAUUUCAUUAAUUGACGUGGCGUCAUCCAAGGGCCCAGAGGCGCUGAUGUACCAUGGUCUCCAGUCAAACGCGUGACACAAUGGAUUAAAAUAAGUCAAAUGAACACACGGCCACAAUUAGAACAAAUGAGAGAGAUCCAAAGGCUUGGAGUCAUCCACGUGGGGAUGGUGGUGGAAACCACCAUCUUCUCUGGCCAGCAAACAACUUCAGGCCACCACGCGCUGGUUUUUGAACCUUAACCAAAAUAAGCAAACGUGGUACCAAAGUGAAGCUGGGGGGAUGUACAUCACCCCCGUAACCUUGGAUUGUGCUUAAUGUUUCUAUCAAGUGAGAAAUUUGAGCUUGAAAUUCAAGGUAUGCAAACUGAAAUGCUUCAAAUCACAAAAUCAAGACCACCACUGGUCUGCCUCUUGCUCGAGGACUUCAGAAAACAGUUUAAACACAAGCAAUUCACAUCAUGGAGCAAGAUUUAGAUCAAAACAGUUAGAUGAUAGACCUUUGAAGUGCAGCUUUAAACAGCACGAUCUGCUCAAAUUCUUGCUUCCACUUUGAUCAGGAGAUGAUGAUGAUGCAAGGCUUAGGAAUUGGAACUUGAAGAUCAACCAAGGAAGUUGAAAUUCAAGCUUGAAUUUGAGAAACAAAAAUUGGAAUUCCUUUGAGUAUGGUUGGGUUUUGAUUUCAGCAGAGCUUCAGAUCACCAUAAGGUUGAGAUUUGAAUGAGCCAAGGCUUCUCUUUAUAGCUGAGCUUGAUGCCAAGUGAGGAAAUACUCGUGUGCAUGAGAAUUGGGUCCUCCAUGCAUGGGCCUGUACAGGCGCAUGUGAGGCCCAAACUUGAGUGGAAAUGCAAGCUGAUAUCAUUUGAAGUUGAAAUAGACGUGCAAUUGGCAUGGUACUUGCUUGCACAUGAAGAUUCAAAGUGAAUUGCAUAUUUGGACCUACACAUUCAUCUAUUCGAAAGUCCCACAUAGAAAAUCCAAACAUAGUGGUGUGAGUAAUGGUUGGAAAUAUUUUGACAUAAGGAACAAAAUAUAUGUUGGACAAAAAUCCAUUUGGAGUUGGUAAAUUUAUGAAAACUGGCCUUGAAGUUUGAGGUACAAAACAUGUAUAAGUUCCCUUUGAAUUUUUUUACCAAAAGUGACCAACUUCAAGCCCUUUUGUUUCAAUGAUGAAAGCCUCAAAUGGAAAAGCCUCCAACAUCACAGUUGUAGAUCUUUUCAAGAUAAUCAAUUUGGACUUAAAUUUUAAAUCAUUUGGAGUUUUGAUGAGAAAGUUAUGGGCACUUAAAGUUGGCCAUUUUUCAAAUCCAAUGGUUUUGGUCCAAAGUGACCUAUAAUGUUUUGUAUUAUCACAUGUGUUUAUUUUAGGAUUAUGAAAUUUUGUCCAACAUAACAUUUUAAGUAGACAUCUUAAGAUUUACAAUUCAAUUGGUCUCACCUUAAAAUAAUAAACAAUUAAGAAGUUAGGUCUUUGGGAAGUUGACAAAAAAUUAGGGUUUCAGUCAAAAUGACCUAUAAUGUUUUGAAAUGAAUGAUGACCUUCCAAGUUUGAAAUGAAUUUUUGAUGAACAUUAAAGUUGUUCAUAUGGUUCUUAAGAAAAUUUGUUCUCUUGGGGUCAUCUUCAUUUGACAAACACAUUAAAAGUUAUGUCUCAGGGAUUCUCAGUUUAGUCAGAUGACUUGACUGGUCAACUUCUCAAGGCCAAACUUCAAAUCUUGAUGAAUGAAUGAUUGAGGAUACUCACAUAAUCUCAUAUAUGCAUAAAAUAAUUAAUAAAAUAACUUCCCUUGAUUGAAUUUGAUCAUAGGUUGAGGUUGCUUCAUGAGCAAGGCACAAUCAAUGCAUAGCUGAAUUAGGGUUUCCUUGGGAAACAAUUCUCAAGCCCUUUGGUUUAUCCUGAUCAAAUUGGAAAAUUGAGAUACUUGGGAGACAUAUAUGAUGACUAGUAACUUUGUGGACCAUUUUCAUGCUUGCUUUCAUCUUCAUCUAGCCACUUCAUUGAGCAUAGGAGUCUCCUAGGAGCAGGGGAUCUCAUGAUUACUUGAGCUUCAAAACAAAACAAGUUAGUGACAUAUUUUUGUGCUUUUGGUUAGUACACAAAAUAAGAAAAGAAAUAAUAUACAAUUCAAGCAUGCUUGGUGGUCUCAAACCAACUCGCAAAAGUCCCAACCCUAGGGUUAAGGAGCCACACAUGCUAUGAUCCUUGAGGCAAUGCAAUGAGCAAUGAUAUGAUACCAUGAGGGAUCUUAGGGUCAAAAUUAGGAUCUUACAGAUGCCCCUAUUUAAGGUCAUUCUAGCCGGAGAUAUGAAGGUUAAAAUCUUUGUCUCGACGAGGUAAAAUGGGCUUAAAUAAUAACAAAGAGACGAAUUUUGGUUCCUAAGAGACCUCAUGAUGCAAAUGUAUGCAUGCAAAAGUUAAUAUUCUAUGGAGAAAUAUGACCACAAAGAAAAAGAAAUCAGGAGAAACUGAAAAUCCAUAGGAGUAAUACACUCACUAGGGAGACAUAGACUCUGGGGAGAAAUAAGGGUAAAAUGCGUGAGCAGGUCACGACUUGAAAGCUUGCUGGGAGACACGAAGGGAUUCCACGAAAAUAAAUCGAUGGAAAGACUUGAGCUGACACAAAGAUGCAUGUAUUGGGGAAUAUACCAAUACAACAAAACUAUCCAUAAAGGAUACUUCGGAUAAAAAUCCGGACUCAGACGGGGAUGUCCACAAAGGACCAAGCCGAGGAAGAAACAACAAGAUAUUACCGGUUACUGGGUAAUAAACUCAAAAAGAGACAUGUGAUCAAAACACCGGUUACUGGGAGAAAGAACAACAUGCUCAUGGAGAAAGGAUAUCUAAGACCGAUUUAAGGGUGAGAGAUAUCAAUUAUCCGAAACAUCUGAGGAAAAACCUAAAAGGCAAAUCUCAACUCAGGAAAAUCUGACUCCACAGGGGGACAAAAAGUCAUAAUAGGGAGCAGAAGGAAGGAACACCAGGGAUACCGGUUACUGGGCAUAUAAUAGGUGACUAACUAGGUGUGAAUUGGGAACAUAUCCAAGACACUCAUCAUCCGAAGGAAGGGCUGAAAAAGCAAACUCGACUUACAGGAUGGGCAUUCGAUUCCACAAGGAAAUGCGAAUCUUACUCAAAUGGGGAAGAAAAAGACUUCAACUGAAGAACGCAUGAGAUAUAUUAUCUAUUACCGUCAGAAUGUAGAUAACAUACUCGCAUGGAAGAUUAUCCACAACCGGUUACUGGGUUAAUAAAGGAUAAAUCGACCGAAAAGAAAGGGCAUCGAGAUACCGGAUACUGGGUAUAAAAUGAUGACCAAUCAAAAGGAGAAACCAUCAUUACCAAACAAGGGUAAAUGAAAGAUGACUCGCGGGGGAUGAAUCGCUUGACAAAAGCAAUUAUCCAAGAGAUAUAUCACUGACUACUGGGUGAAAUACUCAAAAAGGAAUAUCCAUACCGAAUAUUGGAUAAGGAUCACCAACAAAAAGGGGAUUACAUCUACCGGUUACUGGGUAGAAAACCACAGAAAUAGGACUUACAACUACCGGUUACUAGGUAGAAGGACACAAAGACCCACUGUGGAAAGAUGGACAAUUACUGGUUACUGAGCAAUUGAACAACUAAACCAUAGGGAGCUGCAUGGGAAUAACAAGAAAGGAGUCAAUCUAGGAACAAACUAGAAAGACACAAUCAAACAAGACUCAACCCAAUGAGGAUAUAACUCAGGGGAGUAGUUCCAUCCCAACACAUAAUUAGGGAGGAAACUAAAACAAUAAUCAUCCACGAGGAUAUAACUCAGUGGGGAAUGAUAAAGGAAAGAUAAACACUUUCUGCCUAUCGGGCUGACUAUAUAUGGAGAGAUCAGACACAAACAUCUGCUUGGGGAAGAACAUUUCGCCAAUAGCAGAAGAUAACAAUCAAAGAUAUAUGGCAAAGAAUGCAACAUGAAUAUCCGAAUGCUAUAAUUAUGCAUGUAUAUGCAUGGUUUAUGUAUGAUUAAUGCCGCCAGACAGACAUAUCUAACAUAAACAGGUCCGUGAAUCAAUGGACAGACAUCCGAUAUAACAUCUCAAAAGAGAACGGCCAGGCCCACAGGAGGAAACAAAUCUGUGUUGGUGUAAGCCGUAGAGUCCAAUACUUUUGGUACUUGUAUCGAAUUAUUUAUUAAUAAUAAAAGGCUUUUUCUUUAUUAUGUCUGUUUAAUAAAGUCCCUAGAAUAGCUAGUCCGUUUAAUGUAUCAAGUAUGACUUAAUCAUUAGAUCACAUUAAACAUAAGGACACUAUUCUUAAAGUAUCCGUAGUCGAGCUUUAUUAUGAAGUGGGAUAACAUUAAAGCAUGAAGACUAUUAUGUUUAUAGACUGAUGAUCACAUCUCAUGGAUCAUGGAUAAGGAGUUAUCAAGUCUUAAGCAUAGGUAUGAAUAUUAAGUAAUAUUUAUACUGGAUUGACCCGCUAUGAGAAUACUAUAUAGAAUGUUAUGCAAGUGUCAUAAGUUAUUCUCAUGGUGAUAAUGGUGUAUACCACCCUUCGACCUUAUGGACCCUAGAUGUAGAGUCGAGUGCCUUAUUGCUGAUCAAACGUUGUCCGUAAUUGGAUGACCAUAAAGAUAGUUGAUGGGUACUCCACGAAGCAUGCUAAGGGACAUGAGUAACCUAGAAGGAAUUUGCCCAUCCUGCGUAACAGGAUAAAUGUCUAUGGGCCCAAUAUUGAACUGGACAAGGAUGACACGGUUUAUGCCUUGUGUUCAAUAUAAACAUAAGAGCAAAAGUGUAAUUGUGCACAUUAGUAUUAUCACAGAAGGAUAUGUCAGAUCACAUGACAUUUCGUGUCUUAGGUAGCAGUGAUGUGUUGCUAGAUACCGCUCACUGUUUAUUAUGUUAAAUACGUAAUUUAAUAUAAUUGUCAAUGCCGCAAAAACCUACAGGGUCACACACAAAGGACGGAUUGAUGAGAGAUAGAGUAACUAAGGAACACCGUAAGGUACGGUGCACUUAAGUGAAUUGUAGGACAUCGUAAGGUACAGUGUACUUAAGUAGAAUACGAAAUAUGGUAAGGUACCACGCGCUUAACUGAAUUUGGCAUAUUAUAAGAUAUGGGCCACAUACACUUAAGUGGGCUUUUUAGCUUGAAGCCCACACAAGUGGUUCUAUAAAUAAAACCCUUGUGUAGAAGCAUUUAGCAGUUGCAAUUUCGUUUCUCUCUCUCUCUCUCUCUCUCUCUCUCUCUCUCUCUCUCUCUCACUCAAAGCCUUCAUUCGUAGCAGCUAGCACUGAGAUUGAAGGAUUCUCUCUCUCUCUCUCACUCAAAGCCUUCAUUCGUAGCAGCUAGCACUGAGAUUGAAGGAAUCCGUUCGUGUGGACUGAGUAGAGGUGUUGUCAUCGUUCAACGUUCGUGAUCGCUCCGUAGAUCUGUGCAAAGGUUACAAUCGCCACAAGAGGUAACGAUUCUAUCACUGAUCAUGCCCAUUCCUAAGGAUCAUUAAAGGAGAAAUUUUAAAUUCCACUGCAUUUUGGAUCACCCUUCUCCUUCAGUGGUAUCAGAGCCACUUACGAAACCAUGCAUCUGAUAGCUGUUUAUUUUCUGUAUUUUCUGUAUUAAUACGAUUAAAAGAAAGAAUGAAUCAAAGAAUAAACGAGUAAUUAAAUUGAGAUCGAUCAAGUAUAUAUAUGAUAUAAUUAAUCCGGAUGCAAAAUACGGUAUAUAUGAUAUACUGUUUCUGUUUCGUUCAUUCAAACACUUAAUGGUUGUUUUCCUUUGAGCGAUCAAUGGUCGUUUGCUUCUUGAUCCGACAUUAGUAUGGUGAUAUCCGGAUGCAAAAUACGGUAUAUAUGAUAUACUGUUUCUGUUUCGUUCAUUCAAACACUUAAUGGUUGUUUUCCUUUGAGCGAUCAAUGGUCGUUUGCUUCUUGAUCCGACAUUAGUAUGGUGAAGAAAUGACGUAUUGAUCAAUCAUACUGAAUCAACAAUCGAGAUGUGUUUGACGGUCUUAAAUUGGUGCAUUAGGGUUAAUGACGGCACAAGGGUUGUGUUGUCAAAGAGUUAUGCAUUAGAGUUAAUGACGGCACAAGGGUUGUGUUGUCAAAGACUUAUGCGAUUAGGGUUGUGACUGUGCAAGAGUUAUGCUUUAAAGUAUCAAGUGUUGAUGCGAAAAACGACGUCGAUUUCAAAUGAACACCCGUUCCCGCUGACCGGGCAGCGGACCCCCGGCUAACUCUGCAUAGUGUGAUCGGUCGUCGAAAUUUAAUUUGGUUUUAAUUAAUUAAAAGAAUUAAAAUUAAUAAUAAUAAUGUGUUUAUUAUUAUUGUCUUGUGGUGAUUGGUUAUGGCCUUAGUUUUCCUUUAUUUUGUUUGAGUUUAUAAAAUACGACCUGCGUGUCGUGCCUCUCUUUUAAUCUCUUAAUGUAACUUCUUUUCUCAUCUCACUCCGUCGUAUGUAUAACGAGUUUCUUUUAUGUAAUGUAAUGUUAUGAAGAAAGAGAAGAAUUCAAUACCAAAGGAGGACAACCUUGAAGAUCUUGCUUGGAGAAGCUUAGAUCGUUAUUAGGUUAACUUAGGUUCUCUCAUUGGCUUGGGAGAACAAUUGCGCUAGGAGCCAUAACUGUUUCAUUAUGUAUGUAUGUUGAUGCAUGUGAAUGUAUGUUGAUGCAUGUGAGAGACGAUUUAUAUGAUAAAUAAGCCGUUGAGAUCAGUAUAAUUGCAAAUUCCCUUAAAUUAAAUAUUAAGUUUAUGUUUUCCAAGUUUUAACACUCAUCAAGACUAGUAUCGGAUAAUGUAGGUUUCGCCUACGCGAGGUGCAUGUUCUAUAUUAGUAAGGUGCGAUGGGAUAAUUGUAAUAUUAUGUUUUCCAAGUUUUAACACUCAUCAAGACUAGUAUCGGAUAAUGUAGGUUUCGCCUACGCGAGGUGCAUGUUCUAUAUUAGUAAGGUGCGAUGGGAUAAUUGUAAUAUCCAAUUGUUAAAACAAUGUGUCAAACUUAACUAAACAAAUUAUAAUAAGAUUCUAUAUGUUUAGAAGCAAGAGUUGGAAAUGAUCCAUGUGAUGGAUUGGAAUAAGGAGUUAUUCACCCAACUAAAAUAUUCGAGAGUUGUAUUAAAUUAAAUUGGAAGGAGUUCCUACCUAAACAACCUAGUUUUGUGUAAUCCGCCUACGCGGACUUAAAACAAAGUGAAAUAUGGAUCUCAACCCACUAGAAAAUCUUACAACGGGAUUUUCCGAAUCAAAUGGUGAGGGUCAUUUGUUUUGAGUAAAAUAGUGGGAGCAUAUUUAAUUAAAGGCCUAAUUAAAUAUGUUAUUGAUACUUAUUUUUUCAUUAUUUUUAUAUAGAUUACCAUGACAACAACCACCUCUAACAACAUUUUGCAAUCAAUCCUUGACAAGGAAAAAAUGUUUGGGACAAAUUUUCUGGAUUGACACCGAAAUCUGAGGAUUAUCCUCAAACAUGAUAGAAAGUUGUAUGUCUUGGAGAAACCUGUUCCUGAAAAGGAACCUCCUAGUUCUGCACCUAAGGCAAAAAGAGAUGCUUAUAAGAAGCAUGUCGAUGAUGCCAAUGAAACUGCUUGUCUCAUGCUAGCUACCAUGAACUCAGAGUUGCAAAAAGCAAGAACAAUGAGAACAUGGCAUGCAAUCGAAUGAUCGAACACCUGAAGAUGCUCUAUCAAGAGCAAGCAAGGCAUGAAAGGUUUGAAGGUUUCAAAAGCCCUUUUCAAGCAAGGUUAGCUGAGUGGAGCCCCUGUAGGUCCCCCCAUUGAUGCUCAAGAGGAAAUUGGUAUCGUGGAAAACCUUGAGAGUGGGUUUUCCCCUCGGAAAGGAACUUGCGACUUGAUUUGAUCUUGCAAUCCGUUUGCCGAGGAUCGAUUCAGUCAAUUUGUCUAAUUUCAAUCAUGAAUGGAUGAUGGAACAAAUCUCUUCCCUGAACUACUCAGCCAAUGUUUAAGAAUUAUUGAGGCAGGACGAAAGUCAAGAAGGGAAGUCCAUUUCUGAUAGAUUGGAAUGGAAAGAGACAAAACAAAAGGCCCACCAAGCAGGGUGAUAAAGCGGAACGGCAAGGAAGUUGCCAAACCCAAACCCACUGUUGCUCGCUUUGAAGCCUAUGUGAGGCAGCAAAAGAAGGCACCUACUUCAUUGCGGUAAGGACGACCCACGGAUAGAGAAACGGCCCCAAACUACCUGGAAGAUAAGAAGAAUGAAACUAGAGACUUCAACUUCAGGUAUUUUUGUUAGAUUAAUUAAUUUAUCUACUUCUGCAUCAUGGGUAUUAGAAACUGGCAAACCGCGUUCUCACAUUGUACGAAUGUGCAAGGACUAAAACCGGAGUAGAGGAUUUGGCAAAGCGGUGAACUGACCUACGCAAGUUGGAAAUAGAGCAAAGGUGUUCUUGCUUUAGCCUAGGAACUUAUGUAUUGACUUUACCUAAGUGGUUAAAUAAUUCAGUUAGAAGAACUGUUAUUAUGUACUGCAUUAGCAGGAAUAUUAUUCCGUUUCUUGUUUGGACAAGUUGGUUUUUCCAUUUAUAUAAAGAACAAUUGUGCUAUCAAUUUAUUUGAAUGAUAUAUUUUAUGCUACUCAAAAUGAACAAUGACUAUAGCUGGUCCUUGAUCUUGAAUUGCCUAUUUAGUAAUAUAAUACUAAAAAGAUGAAACCGUAAUGAGUUAAUCCAACUUAACCUUCGGCAUUGUCGAUUUAGGCCACAUAAAUGAAAAACACAUAUCCAAACUCCCUAAAGAUGGACUCUGGCUCCUUUUGAUUAUAAAUCAUAUGAACAUGCAAAUCUUGUUUUAAUGUGGAAAGAAGUGACAAAGUCUUCCAUUCACUAAGGAAAAAAAAA